rnacentral:rRNA from 1 species
UACGGGGGGGGUAAGCGUUGUUCGGAAUUACUGGGCGUAAAGGGCUCGUAGGCGGCCAACUAAGUCGGACGUGAAAUCCCCAGGCUCAACCUGGGAACUGCGUCCGAUACUGGAUGGCUUGAAUUCGGGAGAGGGAUGCAGAAUUCCAGGUGUAGCGGUGAAAUGCGUAGAUAUCUGGAGGAAUACCGGUGGCGAAGGCGGCAUCCUGGACCGACAUUGACGCUGAGGAGCGAAAGCUAGGGGAGCAAACGGG